GGCAAGCCAUUAGUGCCAAAAUUCGCCACUUUUCUAACCCGUUUGAUUAAGAAACGGCGUAAAAAACGCCGUUUAAUUAUUCAAAACGCCGAAAAAAACGGCGUUCUGUUUCGACAAACGCCGUUUUUUCCGACUCUCACAUGGCGCCCUGAACGCACCAUCCGAGUGACGUAAAAAGCGGCGUUCAAAGACACACGGAAACGCCGUUUUUUACGCCACUCGGCAGAAAACGCCGUUCAAAGAUGCAUAAAAACGGCGUUUUUUACGGCGUUCUGUGCCAGCUGUAACGGCGUUUAAAACGGCGUUUUAUUGAAAUUAUGCAGGGCACUCCCCAUGGUUCCCUCAUCCAAUUACUUUCAACUCAUUUCACCCAAUCAAAGAAGAGGAAGUGCAGACCACACUAAUGCAUCACCGAUUCACCUUGCUGCUAAGUGAUUGCCUAUUCAGUACCAGUGCUUGUCACAGUAUUGACUUGUAUUAUAAUCCCACUAUGCAUUUUGAUGUGUUUAAGGCAUGAUCAAGCAAACAAACGACAGAAUACUUUUUCUGAAACCUUAACUGUGAUACCUGUUAUGGCAGCUAACAGACACUUGGCGCAUGGCUCCUUUGUUUACGUUAGGGAUCAGCUGUUAGCGCUGCGCCCUGCAGCUGCGCUACCGGCAGACAGACCCUACGUCCCCAGUGAGGGAAGAGACGGGGGUGAUGUCUCCCGAGAAGGACACCUUACACACCAUCUCUCCUUCCUGUAAUCACUGUAAACGUGAGAUCGCUCCCUGAUAUGAUUGAGGAGCUAAUGACGCUAACCCGGUCACAGUGGCAGUACCCCGACACUGCCCGGUACUCCCUCUGUGAGUAGGCUGCCCGGCUUCCAGCUGCUGCGGCCGGACAAGACCAGAGACAGCGGUGAGAGGAAAGGAGGGGGACUGGGCAGUGUUUGUUAAAGACAGUUGUGGUAUCCCUGGGCACAUUGCUGUGAAAGAACAACUCUGCAACAGAGACAUUGAGCUAUUAGCCGUUAGCAUCCGUGGAGGCAGCCUGUGACUCUCUGUGGUCCGCAGA